rnacentral:tRNA from 1 species
UCCCUGAGGGUCCAGUGGUUAGGACUCCACAUUUUCAUUGCCAAGGACCCAGGUUCAACUCCUAGUUGGGGAA